GAUGAACGCUGGCGGCGUGCCUAAUACAUGCAAGUCGAGCGAACAGAUAAGGAGCUUGCUCCUUUGACGUUAGCGGCGGACGGGUGAGUAACACGUGGGUAACCUACCUAUAAGACUGGAAUAACUCCGGGAAACCGGGGCUAAUGCAGGAUAACAUGUUGAACCGCAUGGUUCUACAGUGAAAGGCGGCUUUGCUGUCACUUAUAGAUGGACCCGCGCCGUAUUAGCUAGUUGGUGAGGUAACGGCUCACCAAGGCAACGAUACGUAGCCGACCUGAGAGGGUGAUCGGCCACACUGGAACUGAGACGCGGUCCAGACUCCUACGGGAGGCAGCAGUAGGGAAUCUUCCGCAAUGGGCGAAAGCCUGACGGAGCAACGCCGCGUGAGUGAUGAAGGUCUUCGGAUCGUAAAACUCUGUUAUUAGGGAAGAACAAAUGCGUAAGUAACUGUGCGCGUCUUGACGGUACCUAAUCAGAAAGCCACGGCUAACUACGUG
rnacentral:rRNA from 1 species